UGGAAAAUAUUUAUUAGAUGUGAAUUUGCCCUUAAGCACUUACCGGUGAAAGGGUCAAGAGUCUUUAACGUAUAGUUGGUGAUAUAGGAAGCUAUAGUUAUGUGGGUCUCAGUUAGCUUAAAAGGUUAAUAAACGGCCAUAGCGUUUAGAAUCACUAGAGCUAUACAAUGCUAUAGCUUAACACUACGGUCUUGGUAAGAAUCUUUUCAUAUGGAAAU
rnacentral:lncRNA from 1 species